rnacentral:rRNA from 1 species
GAUGAACGCUGGCGGCGUGCCUAAUACAUGCAAGUCGAGCGAACGGACGAGAAGCUUGCUUUUCUGAUGUUAGCGGCGGACGGGUGAGUAACACGUGGAUAACCUACCUAUAAGACUGGGAUAACUUCGGGAAACCGGAGCUAAUACCGGAUAAUAUUUUGAACCGCAUGGUUCAAAAGUGAAAGACGGUCUUGCUGUCACUUAUAGAUGGAUCCGCGCUGCAUUAGCUAGUUGGUAAGGUAACGGCUUACCAAGGCAACGAUGCAUAGCCGACCUGAGAGGGUGAUCGGCCACACUGGAACUGAGACACGGUCCAGACUCCUACGGGAGGCAGCAGUAGGGAAUCUUCCGCAAUGGGCGAAAGCCUGACGGAGCAACGCCGCGUGAGUGAUGAAGGUCUUCGGAUCGUAAAACUCUGUUAUUAGGGAAGAACAUAUGUGUAAGUAACUGUGCACAUCUUGACGGUACCUAAUCAGAAAGCCACGGCUAACUACGUGCCAGCAGCCGCGGUAAUACGUAGGUGGCAAGCGUUAUCCGGAAUUAUUGGGCGUAAAGCGCGCGUAGGCGGUUUUUUAAGUCUGAUGUGAAAGCCCACGGCUCAACCGUGGAGGGUCAUUGGAAACUGGAAAACUUGAGUGCAGAAGAGGAAAGUGGAAUUCCAUGUGUAGCGGUGAAAUGCGCAGAGAUAUGGAGGAACACCAGUGGCGAAGGCGACUUUCUGGUCUGUAACUGACGCUGAUGUGCGAAAGCGUGGGGAUCAAACAGGAUUAGAUACCCUGGUAGUCCACGCCGUAAACGAUGAGUGCUAAGUGUUAGGGGGUUUCCGCCCCUUAGUGCUGCAGCUAACGCAUUAAGCACUCCGCCUGGGGAGUACGACCGCAAGGUUGAAACUCGAAGGAAUUGACGGGGACCCGCACAAGCGGUGGAGCAUGUGGUUUAAUUCGAAGCAACGCGAAGAACCUUACCAAAUCUUGACAUCCUUUGACAACUCUAGAGAUAGAGCCUUCCCCUUCGGGGGACAAAGUGACAGGUGGUGCAUGGUUGUCGUCAGCUCGUGUCGUGAGAUGUUGGGUUAAGUCCCGCAACGAGCGCAACCCUUAAGCUUAGUUGCCAUCAUUAAGUUGGGCACUCUAAGUUGACUGCCGGUGACAAACCGGAGGAAGGUGGGGAUGACGUCAAAUCAUCAUGCCCCUUAUGAUUUGGGCUACACACGUGCUACAAUGGACAAUACAAAGGGCAGCGAAACCGCGAGGUCAAGCAAAUCCCAUAAAGUUGUUCUCAGUUCGGAUUGUAGUCUGCAACUCGACUACAUGAAGCUGGAAUCGCUAGUAAUCGUAGAUCAGCAUGCUACGGUGAAUACGUUCCCGGGUCU